ACGAGUUUUAAUUGUUAGGUUAGAGUUGAGCUGGUUAAUCUAAUUAAUAUGUGCUUACUCUAAUCGAAACAAGUCACUCAUUACUUAACACUUGGUGAAUUUAUUCAUUACAAACAUUAUUAUUUGUUAUUGGAACGUUUGAUUAUUAAAAAGUUAAUA
rnacentral:misc_RNA from 1 species